rnacentral:lncRNA from 1 species
UUAGAUGUAACAUAGCUAAAUUUCAUCUAGAUGUGAUUUAGCCAGUCCGUUCUUAUGAAGUGGGCAGAAUAAAGGGAAAUGCUCCCCUACAGACAUCUGGUGGCUAGUAUUUGUCAGACCGGUCUUUGGCCGUCGAUUCGUCUCUAAUCUCACGGUUGAGAAAGAAAUCCAAUUCCUGCGCCCCGUAAUCACUCCUUGUCCCAAAUAAUUGCCCCGAACCAAGUUGACCCCAUUCCCCGUCUAUCCUGCCCCGUUCCUACUCAGAGCUAUGCUCGCCGUUCCCCUCGCCGCGCCAUCUCUCUCCCCCAGCCAGUAUCCUGCCCUGUGUCUGCACAACCUCCGUUCCAUCUGGCCGGUACGCCGUACCCCUCGGCGGUUGUGCAACGACGGCCGCACAACCUGGCAGCCGACAAUCUCACAAACUCAAGGUCGUGCUCAUCUUCACCAUGACCAUGGACUGCGGUCCACCUCAUCGGACCUCUGCUCCACAUGCAACCCUGGACUGCGGUCCACCUCGUCGGAAUGCCAUCUAUGUUCGGGAAUGAAGCCAUCACUAGUGGACUACUACAGGACUCGCCCACCCCAUCCCCAUCUGGCCUAGGGCUAGAGUCAUCUCUCUUGAUGCACGGUUCAAUUCCUGCAUUGCUUGUUAAUUUUGGCAUAAUUGUGUUAUGAGAUUUGUGUGAUAUCUCUCUAUGUCAACACUUUGGUUUUUAUUCCAUGUUUGUGGGCGUGAAAUUGCGUCGUACAUUCCUAUCCGAUCGCUAAAUUAUCCACAAUUUUCUGUGAGAUUGGUAUGUGCAUCGUACAAAGAUGCCUCCCCUGGUGGUGACAAUACUAGUUUUGUUUUAUUUUCAAAUUUCCUUCCUUCUAAUUAUACUAUAUAACACUACUUAUGUACCCAUGCCAUGUUUUCGUGCUUCUACACUGCAAUACUACCGCUCCGUCUGGCUGGAUAAGUGCUCCCAUGAAUCAACAACAAAUCCUUUAAAUUUGCAUGUCAACGACACAAAAGAUGCACCCUCACAUUUGCUACUGCCGCAAGCUUAUAUUGUUUCAUUGUCAAUGUUUUAUUCUAUGCUUCCAACCAAGAUAAGUAAUGUUGAGUUGACAUAUUUUCAUGCUUCCUACAUUUUAUUUCAACAUCAUGAUUCGUACAAUUUGUCAUAUUUUCAUACAAUUUUACCACACAUCUUCAUAUAUCAGUUUAUUUCGUCAAUUCACAUAUCUGCAGAUUUCCUGACAUACUACAUUUCUUAUGUUUUCAGUGGAGCCACAAUAAUGAAGCAGGAGAUAUGCUCAAGGGUACCCCACCUCUGAUCCCUCCAUCCUCCGCGCCACCCAUGCACCCUGCUCCCAGGCCACCUGCACCGGCCCCCACUGCUCGAUGCACACGCCGAAAUCUGGUCGCAAAACAUGCAUCCCCAUUUUGGUCGCAGUCUUAGUUUGUUUCCAUGUCCAAUGUUCUAUGCUUCCACUUAAGAUGAGUCAUAUUGAGAUUUCGUAUUUUUCAUGCUUCCUACAGUUGUUCUUGCCAUGGUCAUCACCAUUCAACAUGCCACGCUUCCAUAUUAUAUUACAUAUUUUUUGUUUUUCAGUUUUUCUUGUUUAUUUGCAUCGUUAUAACGGAAGCAUUAUAUUCCUCAUUUCUAAUGUACACUAGACCAUUAAGGCGCGCGUUGCUAGCUUGCUGUGCCCGUCUAUUAUAUUGUUGGUAAUCAAAGAGAGGAAUUUUAUAAAUAUAUGGACUAAUAGGCAACAGAAAUGGAGAUGGUGAGUAGUUAGUAGCGUGUCGCCCUCCAGCCCCGUGUCGCCCCCCGCGGGCGACCCGGGCGCCCAACCCUAGCCGCCGCCGAACCCAGCCCCCACCUCCUUCCUCUCCUCCCGCCGCCGGGCAAAGCCCGCGCGGUGCCGGCGGCGGGAUCUCGUUUCCUCGCCUGGAACAGGGGCCGCGGGGGGCUGCUUCUUCGAGCGCGGCGGCGGAGCUCGGCGGCCGGCGCGCGCUAGUGGUGUCGGUGCGGGGCGGCGCGGCCUGCUGGNNNNNNNNNNNNNNNNNNNNNNNNNNNNNNNNNNNNNNNNNNNNNNNNNNNNNNNNNNNNNNNNNNNNNNNNNNNNNNNNNNNNNNNNNNNNNNNNNNNNNNNNNNNNNNNNNNNNNNNNNNNNNNNNNNNNNNNNNNNNNNNNNNNNNNNNNNNNNNNNNNNNNNNNNNNNNNNNNNNNNNNNNNNNNNNNNNNNNNNNNNNNNNNNNNNNNNNNNNNNNNNNNNNNNNGGUCAUAUCCGCGCCGGCUGAUCUGAGGCGGCGGCCUCGCUGGUGCGGACGGCGCUCCUCCGGCGGCGGGGAGUGCUCGUCGGUGAGGUAGGCCGGAUCCCCUCGGCUGCGCGGGCAGCGAGGUCCCUGUGGGCGCUGGUCAUGGCGCGGGGAGGCCCCGGGCUCCCCUCGUCAGAUCGGAGGCGAUCUGGUCCGCUCGUGAUGCAUGACCUCCGGCCGGCCUGGAUCUCCGGCGUGCACGCGCCUGCUGACGUUGUGGCUGGUUCGGAGGUGGCGGCAGGGUGCUUGGCCGGGGGAAACCCUUGGCCGCCGGUGGCGGUCACGGCGUCGAUGGCGUCCCGGACGCCAUUCCCUCCUUGGUGGCGGCGCCGAGGCUAAACCUCCCCUGCCUCCCCCCUUCCCCUGCGACCGGGUGAAAACCCUAGCCCCGGUGGUUAAGCGACGGCGGCGCCACAGCGUCGUCACCUUCUUGAAGGCGCCGACUUGGGCAUGGGGAUGCUGGGCGUGCAUGGCGAGCUUGUCUGGAUCCUGGUGGCGGCCCGUCUGAUCUACCGCGUCGCAGCUCCGGACAUGUCUCGUGACUGCGGUGCUUAUCUUCCGGCCGUGUCUUCGACGACGACCUCGCCCUUCCUCACCUUGUACUUGCCGUGGUGGAGCGCUACUUCAUCUCACUCAUUGAUGGCGGCGGAGAUCGGCGGCAUGGCGCUGUAGAGGCUCGGCGUCCGAUGCGCGGAGAUGGACUCGCGCAGGAGGAGGUAGCUGUCUGGCGUCAUGGUGACGUCGAUGGCAGAAGUGGCCUUCACAAGGUAGAAGACUCAAUAUAAUCUGAAGACGGACCUGUGGAAGAUGGCGGCGACGACACAAGAGUGCGUCUGACCGGAUUGUGCCCCAGACCCGGUAUGUGGCUCGGCUGGGGCUUCCGGCUUUUGAUGUUAGGUUUAGGUGAGUGGUUUGGGUAGUGGCCCAGCUAGCAUCCCUUCAUCAUAUGGAUAAGAGUAGCGGCAUAUGUUGCCAAGAUGGUGGAUUCAGGUAUAUUGUUUGUAAUACUUUGUAAGGUCCUCGAAAAUAAUUAAUAAAGUGGCCGUAUGCAUCUCCCAGAUGCAGAGGCCGGGGGUCAUCCUCCUUUUCUAAAAAAAAUAGGCAACAGAAAUAUUUGAUAUACUUAUUAAGUUUCAGCUAAUACUGUGAACUCAUUUUGUACUAUUGGUAUAAUUUGUCUGACAUUAAGAUUUAUUUCCCUAUGAGUACCAAAUAGCAUCAGCCAGAUGGUUCGAUGUAAGAGUAUAUAGACUAUAAUGUACUGUAGGCAAUAUUUCAUAUGCAGCAGAACAAUCUAAUAGCUUAUGUUAUACUUCAAAGUUUGUUGGAAAACACAAGUUAGCACUGUAUGAUGCAGUAGAAUUUACAUAGCUUGUAUCAUCCAAAAUAAUAGAUCAAGGUAUAAUGAUAUGUGAUAGGUUUGGUUACAUGCAUAGACAUAAUGUGAAGUGAGCAUAUCAGUACACCACAUUAUAGGCAGGGCAGUAAAACACGUGUCAGACUUAUUUAACAGAAAAAGUAGGGGUUGAUAAUUUUGAUAUCAACCAUACAAGUGCAGGCAUAGCUUUGCUUCCUGAUUCCCAACAGAUUAACAUCGUUAUGAUGUAGAAUAAAACCUCUGUUCCAACCCAAAAUAUAUUCUGGAAAUAGGUCACUGCCUACAUAUAGUAAUAGAUAUCCUUGUAACUAUCAUUUAUGGGAGAUACCAAAUUUGUGGAUAUUGAAAUGCUUAAUUUACCUUAACAUUUCAUAUAAAAUCUUGCUCUCAUCAAAAGAUGCGAAUUUAGGCUUUAUUUGCAUAGGAGCAACUGAAAAUGUCAGCUGAGUUUUGUCAACUUUCCAAGAACAAAUUAGGAGCUAUUGCUUGAUACAUGCCCUUAUGGUUGGUGCUUGAUACAACACUAGAUUUUGGUGGAAGGAGGCUCACAAAUUAAUUUGUCAUUGCCAGGCUCAUGCUAUCCCUUAUCCUGGAAACCAGAAAAAAAAUGCACAGUAUUAUCUCUCCAUUCUUGAAACUAAAUUCUAAAAUAAAAAUGCCGUAUGCUUGACAAAAAUUAAGUAUUUUUUGAGUUAUUUUGGUCGUUCCAGUUUUACCGGAUCCAUAUUUGAACAUAAAUUGUACCGUGUCAACAGAAAAGUGGAUUAGAUUGACAUAUAAACAUAUAAAUGCAAAACAAUAUAGGAAUAAGAACAUACCUCCGACCAUCAGGAUUAACUUCUAGUGCAUUCAUCAAUACAAAAUACCUUUAACUCCAAGUUUCUCUUGCGAAGCCUAGAAGAAAUAGCAAGGUCUUAGUUGUGCACAGGUCAGGAUAUAGUCUGCAUACGUUAUGUAACUCAAAAGAAUUACAGUGGCAAUGUUCACCAUAUAAAAACUAAGUCUCCUCACACAAAUCUCUCUUAUCGCAUAACCAUUUUCCCUUGUUAUUUAAUUUCUUUUAGAAGAACAGGGAGGCCCCUCCCCGGUUUCAUUAACAAGAAUGAAACCCCUUUUCUUUCUUUCAGGUCCCUAUCUUCUUGAGGCUCUUCCGACAACCUGAUUAUCGGACCGAUCACGGGACGGAAACACCAAGGAGGCAAGGAGCUUUGACGUACAAGGGAAUCCCCAGGUGGUCUCUGAUAACGAUCGCUAUACCUGUUUUACAUACCCACACGCAGCUCGCUCUUGGUUAGGACAUGUCAAAUAGUCCUAUUUGCUUAUCGCACUACUUGUAUAUACGCCUCGACGUAUCACUCAAAUAACAAUGGAAAAUAAUUUACAGCGUCAGCUUAUUU